AAACCAGCGGGAAAAUGAAAAGCGAGGGCCUUUAGUCCGGGUUGUAAAAUCCAGCUGGGACUAAAGGUACUCUCUAGUCCCGGUUGGAAUUUACAACCGGGACUAAAGGUCCCCACUUAGUCCCGGGUUGAAUUUGCAAUAGGAAUUGAAGGCCCUUUAAUCCCAGUUGCUAAUUCAACUCGGGACUAGGGGGGUGUUAUAACGUCCGCCCCCUGAUCCCCCACCUUGUUUCCUCCUCAGUUCACUCCGCCACCUCGUUUGCUCGUCUCUCCGGCACCCUCCCCUGGCCUCCCCUCGCGCACCGCCAUACACAGCCGUCUACCGCGACCCGUUGUUGUUGCUGCAUUUCACCUCCGUGCCCCGGAUCCCCGGCCACCCCUUAACCUCCUCGCCCCGGAUCCCCAGCGGCGCCCUCCCAGCCCGCCGCGCACCUCGUCGUUCGCUGUCCGCCCCG
rnacentral:lncRNA from 1 species